rnacentral:rRNA from 1 species
UACGGAGGGAGCUAGCGUUGUUCGGAAUUACUGGGCGUAAAGCGCACGUAGGCGGCUUUGUAAGUUAGAGGUGAAAGCCCGGGGCUCAACCCCGGAAUUGCCUUUAAGACUGCAUCGCUUGAAUCCGGGAGAGGUGAGUGGAAUUCCGAGUGUAGAGGUGAAAUGCGCAGAUAUCAGGAAGAACACCCGUGGCGAAGGCGGCUCUCUGGGACGGUACUGACGCUGAGACGCGAAAGCGUGGGGAGCGAACAGG